rnacentral:rRNA from 1 species
CGCGUAGGCGGUUUGAUAAGUCAGAUGUGAAAGCCCACGGCUUAACUGUGGAAGUGCAUUUGAAACUGUCAGACUUGAGUAUCAGAGGGGAAAGUGGAAUUCCCGGUGUAGAGGCGAAAUUCGUAGAUAUCGGGAGGAAUACCGGUGGCGAAGGCGACUUUCUGGCUGAAUACUGACGCUGAGGCGCGAAAGCGUGGGGAGCAAACAG